UACGGGGGGAGCAAGCGUUGUUCGGAUUUACUGGGCGUAAAGGGCGCGUAGGCGGCGCAACAAGUCACUUGUGAAAUCUCCGGGCUUAACUCGGAGCGGCCAAGUGAUACUGUCGUGCUAGAGUGCGGAAGGGGCUACUGGAAUUCUCGGUGUAGCGGUGAAAUGCGUAGAUAUCGAGAGGAACACCUGCGGCGAAGGCGGGUAGCUGGGCCGACACUGACGCUGAGGCGCGAAAGCCAGGGGAGCAAACGGG
rnacentral:rRNA from 1 species